rnacentral:rRNA from 1 species
GACGAACGCUGGCGGCGCGCCUAACACAUGCAAGUCGAACGGAGCUGCGAGAAGCUUGCUUUUCUUAGCUUAGUGGCGAACGGGUGAGUAACGCGUGAGUAACCUGCCCUGGAGUGGGGGACAACAGUUGGAAACGACUGCUAAUACCGCAUAAGCCCACGAUCCGGCAUCGGAUUGAGGGAAAAGGAUUUAUUCGCUUCAGGAUGGACUCGCGUCCAAUUAGCUAGUUGGUGAGGUAACGGCCCACCAAGGCGACGAUUGGUAGCCGGACUGAGAGGUUGAACGGCCACAUUGGGGCUGAGACACGGCCCAGACUCCUACGGGAGGCAGCAGUGGGGGAUAUUGCACAAUGGGGGAAACCCUGAUGCAGCGACGCCGCGUGGAGGAAGAAGGUUUUCGGAUUGUAAACUCCUGUCGUUAGGGACGAUAAUGACGGUACCUAACAAGAAAGCACCGGCUAACUACGUG